UGGCAGUGUAUCGUUAGCUGGU
rnacentral:miRNA from 1 species